rnacentral:rRNA from 1 species
UUAGACGCUGGCGGCAGGCCUAACACAUGCAAGUCGAGCGGUAGCACAAGAGAGCUUGCUCUCUGGGUGACGAGCGGCGGACGGGUGAGUAAUGUCUGGGAAACUGCCUGAUGGAGGGGGAUAACUACUGGAAACGGUAGCUAAUACCGCAUAACGUCUUCGGACCAAAGUGGGGGACCUUCGGGCCUCACGCCAUCAGAUGUGCCCAGAUGGGAUUAGCUAGUAGGUGGGGUAAUGGCUCACCUAGGCGACGAUCCCUAGCUGGUCUGAGAGGAUGACCAGCCACACUGGAACUGAGACACGGUCCAGACUCCUACGGGAGGCAGCAGUGGGGAAUAUUGCACAAUGGGCGCAAGCCUGAUGCAGCCAUGCCGCGUGUGUGAAGAAGGCCUUCGGGUUGUAAAGCACUUUCAGCGAGGAGGAAGGGUGGUGUGUUAAUAGCACAUCACAUUGACGUUACUCGCAGAAGAAGCACCGGCUAACUCCGUGCCAGCCGCCGCGGUAAUACAA